GUUGGGCAUCACAAUAUGUGUUCCGCUCCGUGCACCCAAUGCACAGAGAACGUUCGUGCAAGCUCUGGGACGGAUCCAGACCCAUUCAACUUGAAUGGGUCCGCAUCCUUCCGUUCCGCAAAAAGAUAGAGCAA